GACAGAGGGUGCAAACGUUGUUCGGAAUUACUGGGCGUAAAGCGCGUGUAGGCGGCUUUGCAAGUCGGGCGUGAAAUCCCACGGCUCAACCGUGGAAGUGCACUCGAAACUGCAGAGCUAGAGUCCUGGAGAGGAAGGUGGAAUGCUUGGUGUAGAGGUGAAAUUCGUAGAUAUCAAGCGGAACACCGGUGGCGAAGGCGGCCUUCUGGACAGUGACUGACGCUGAGACGGCGAAAGCGUGGGGAGCAAACAGG
rnacentral:rRNA from 1 species